rnacentral:rRNA from 1 species
GUGCCAGCAGCCGCGGUAAGACGAACCUUGCUAACGUUAUUCGGAAUUACUGGGCUUAAAGGGUGCGUAGGCGGUGCAGAAAGUUGGGUGUGAAAGCCCUCGGCUCAACCGAGGAAUUGCGCCCAAAACUGCUGCACUAGAGGAAGACAGAGGUACGCGGAACUUAGGGUGGAGCGGUGAAAUGCGUUGAUAUCCUAAGGAACACCGGUGGCGAAAGCGGCGUACUGGGUCUUAUCUGACGCUGAGGCACGAAAGCUAGGGGAGCGAACGGGAUUAGAAACCCGGGUAGUCC